rnacentral:rRNA from 1 species
AGUGAACGCUGGCGGCAGGCCUAACACAUGCAAGUCGAGCGGCAGCGCGUCCGACCACCCUCGGGUGGUCGGAUGGCGGCGAGCGGCGGACGGGUGAGGAAUGCAUCGGAAUCUGCCUCGUUGUGGGGGAUAACGUAGGGAAACUUACGCUAAUACCGCAUACGACCUACGGGUGAAAGUGGGGGACCUUCGGGCCUCACGCGAUGAGAUGAGCCGAUGCCGGAUUAGCUAGUUGGCGGGGUAAAGGCCUACCAAGGCGACGAUCUUUAGCUGGUCUGAGAGGAUGAUCAGCCACACUGGGACUGAGACACGGCCCAGACUCCUACGGGAGGCAGCAGUGGGGAAUAUUGGACAAUGGGCGAAAGCCUGAUCCAGCAAUGCCGCGUGAGUGAUGAAGGCCUUAGGGUUGUAAAGCUCUUUUACCAGGGAUGAUAAUGACAGUACCUGGAGAAUAAGCUCCGGCUAACUCCGUGCCAGCAGCCGCGGUAA